GCGGCAAUAGCUCAAAUUUGAAAUCCGGCCCUCGGGUCUGAGUUGUAAUUUGAAGAGGAUGCCUCGGUGCGGGCCCCGAUCGAAGUUCCUUGGAACAGGACGUCAUAGAGGGUGAGAAUCCCGUCUGUGGUCGGUGGCCCCUACCGUGUGAGGCUCCUUCGACGAGUCGAGUUGUUUGGGAAUGCAGCUCUAAAUGGGAGGUAAAUUUCUUCCAAGGCUAAAUAUCAGCCAGAGACCGAUAGCGCACAAGUAGAGUGAUCGAAAGGUGAAAAGCACUUUGAAAAGAGGGUUAAAAAGCACGUGAAAUUGUUGAAAGGGAAGCGCUUGCCACCAGAGUUGCCCGGGGGGUUCAGCCGACCUUCUGGCUCGGUGUACUUCCUCUCGGGCAGGCCCGCAUCAGUUCGGCCGGCCGGAUAAAGGCCGCGGGAAUGUAGCACCCUCGGGUGUGUUAUAGCCCGCGGUGCAAUACGGCCUGGCUGGACUGAGGUCCGCGCUUCGGCAAGGAUGCGGGCGUAAUGGUGGUCAGCGGCCCGUCUUGAAACACGGACCAAGGAGUCUAACAUCUGUGCGAGUGUUCGGGUGUCAAACCCGUGAGCGUAAUGAAAGUGAACGGAGGUGGGAGCCCUCGGGCGCACCAUCGACCGAUCCUGAUGUCCUCGGAUGGAUUUGAGUAUGAGCAUAGCUGUUGGGACCCGAAAGAUGGUGAACUAUGCGUGAAUAGGGUGAAGCCAGAGGAAACUCUGGUGGAGGCUCGCAGCGGUUCUGACGUGCAAAUCGAUCGUCAAAUUUGCGCAUAGGGGCGAAAGACUAAU
rnacentral:rRNA from 1 species